UCUUAUUUUGUAUUAUGUUGUGUUUAUUUAUUAAAACACUCACUCCCUUAACUUGCUUCCCGACUCUCAGCGCCCUCGUUACAAGACAAUUAAUGUAUGUCUCAUCAGUGCAUUGCUAGCAACCUGUGAGAGGCAGCUAUAACAGCUAUAACCCCUGGCGAGGCAAUCCAGUCCAUCUUGGAGUCCUGGGACGUAACUUUCUCAUUCAACUUCCGCAUCCAGUUCAACAUGCACUCAAGGGCUCCACCUGGCGAGGCUGUCCAGGACUGCAUGUGAAGGUUGCGCAGUUGCUAUUGGACCUUAGUGGAGGACACUUAGAGCUGGCUGCCCUGCUGAUCAAGAGGGGCGCCAAACUGGAGGAGGUCAACGAUGAGGGAUACAUUCCACUCAUAGAGGCUGCACGAGAGGGCCACGAGGAGAUGGAGGCGCUGCUUUUGGCACAAGCUGCCAACAUCAACUGCAGGGGCCGACUUCGAACUGGGCUGCUCAACGCCUUGAGCUGAAUACCUGCUGGCUGGAGGUCGCAGUUGUAAAUGAGAACUUGUUCUCAACUGGCCUACCUGGUUAAAUAAAGAGCCAAUGUCCAUGCCACAACGGCGACAGGAUAUACGUCUCUGACAUACGCCUGUGAUAACAGAUGUGACUGAGUUGCUGCUGCAGAUGGGGGCUGACCUGAAACAUGAAUCGGAGGAUGACAGAACCCCUCGAAUGAAAGUCGAGAAGGACCAAAGUUUAGUGAGGUCAUUUGCAGAGUCCAAAUUGUAAGCAUUGUGCAUCCUACUUUUGUGUCAAAUAGUUAUAAGGAAAUUGUGGUCAGUUAACAAAUAUUAUGUCUUGUUUGAUUUUUGCCCUGUUCUAGCCAAGGCCAAUGUAAAUAUGCAUCUAUUUUUGCUAAUACAGUCUUGGUAACUGUUUUAGCUGAAUGCACAUGGAUUUAGAUGUUUAUGUGUGUUGUUUUUUUCAGUCAUACUAAUGAAAGAAGGUCCAUGAAGUUAACAUGGACAGCAUCGCUAAGCCUGAGUUCCUGUCGAGUAAAGCUAAGGAGGGCUCACCUAUGGAGCUCUAUACUCACAAUUCCAUUUAGUUCAGGGACUGAAUGGCCAUUCUUACGGAGAAAUCAAAUGUCUUAUUCAACUGAAUUGAGAUUAAAUUGAUCUGUAACUCUUGACUUGCUCUGGCUACUCCCAGUGUUGAAUGGGGAAGUGCCUUUCCUCAAAAUCAAGGUGGUCCCUGACAGUUGGAAGACGGACAUGAACGAGAUCUUAGAAUCGUCCAGCAGCGACAAGGAGGACACGGAAGGAGAGGAGGAGGUGGUAAAGGUGGUCACACCAUUGUGGUGUCCUACCUCCUCAACUACCUCAACAACAUCCUGUCGGUCCCUGCACAAGACCUAUCUCAGCUCACACCCCUCUCCUAUGACACCUCUCAAAUAAAACUGUGAAGGACCUCGGUGUUACCCUGGACCCUGAUCUCUCUUUUGACGAACAUAAAUGAUGCAGAAAAAUGUAUCCAUGCUUUUCGUGGGCUAUACUCGGCCUUGUC